UUGAACGCUGGCGGCAUGCCUUACACAUGCAAGUCGAACGGUAGCGGGUCCUUCGGGAUGCCGACGAGUGGCGAACGGGUGAGUAAUAUAUCGGAACGUGCCCAGUAGUGGGGGAUAACUGCUCGAAAGAGCAGCUAAUACCGCAUACGACCUGAGGGUGAAAGGGGGGGAUCGCAAGACCUCUCGCUAUUGGAGCGGCCGAUAUCAGAUCAGCUAGUUGGUGGGGUAAAGGCCUACCAAGGCAACGAUCUGUAGUUGGUCUGAGAGGACGACCAGCCACACUGGGACUGAGACACGGCCCAGACUCCUACGGGAGGCAGCAGUGGGGAAUUUUGGACAAUGGGCGCAAGCCUGAUCCAGCAAUGCCGCGUGCAGGAAGAAGGCCUUCGGGUUGUAAACUGCUUUUGUCAGGGAAGAAAUCUUCUGGGCUAAUACCCCGGGAGGAUGACGGUACCUGAAGAAUAAGCACCGGCUAACUACGUGCCAGCAGCCGCGGUAAUACGUAGGGUGCGAGCGUUAAUCGGAAUUACUGGGCGUAAAGCGUGCGCAGGCGGCUUUGCAAGACAGAUGUGAAAUCCCCGGGCUCAACCUG
rnacentral:rRNA from 1 species